GUGACUGGUAAUUACCCACUCUAAGCUUCUCAAUUUCACCUUAUUCAGAAUAAUUUCCUCAACAUUUUCCCAGUGCAGUGGAGAGCUGCAAUCAAAGAGCUGCACAGAGGACGGCCGCCCAGCUGUGCGACAGCGGGAGGAGUGAGCGGAGGAGUGCAGAGUGGGAAAACAUUUUCAGAGUGUUGUGCAGCAGCCGAGCAGCAGGAAGAGGAAGAGAAAUAGAAAAGCAGACAGUUAGCGAUGCAGCUGAAGGCUCCUCCCAGUGGACGUGUCCUACAGGGCAUCUUAACCUGACGUUGAUCAAUACUGUACCUCCCUGCAGUGUCUCCUCCGACACCUCGUCUUCCUCCUCACACAACCAGGACGUGACACAUCCCCUGACUUUAACUGUAUCAGCCGAUUAUAAUCACCAAAUCCUUCCUGGCUUUGUUUUAUCAGGUAUUUGGUCUGUACUAAAUAAAGUUAAUCUAUAAAACUUACUAUUUGACAACAUUAACCUGCAGAAGAGCAGUUUCUUGUA